GUCCUCUCUUAUUUCAUUUCAUGAAUAUAAUGCGCAUCUCUAACAUGUUUGAUUUAUCGCGGUUCGUUUUUAUUGGUCAAAUCUAACAGUUUUUUAGAUUCGCAUCCAUUGUUGUUGUUUCGAUUGUUGCAAUCUUGUGAAAUCCUUGUUUGUGUCAGAUUAAUGCUACUUUUACUGCAUUUCUAGUGUUUUCUUCGUCUUUAAGCUCUAAUAAUUUCUCUCUUUUGAUGCGUCAUCUAGUUUUCUAGCCGUUUUCGUCUUUGGUGCUUCAUUUCGUAUAUCUAACUCCCAACACAGUGUGCUAUAGUUAGUGAGUGAAUGAUCAUUUUGAGCACUUGUUAAUUUUAUAUGUCGAAUUUUGUUAGUUUGUUUGAGAUGUUCUUCAGAUUUGGCCAUG
rnacentral:misc_RNA from 1 species